rnacentral:rRNA from 1 species
AGAACGAACGCUGGCGGCAGGCUUAACACAUGCAAGUCGAGCGCUCAGCAAUGAGAGCGGCGCACGGGUGAGUAACACGUGGGAACGUGCCCUUUGGUUCGGAAUAACUCAGGGAAACUUGAGCUAAUACCGGAUAAGCCCUUACGGGGAAAGAUUUAUCGCCAUUGGAGCGGCCCGCGUCCGAUUAGCUAGUUGGUGAGGUAAAGGCUCACCAAGGCGACGAUCGGUAGCUGGUCUGAGAGGACGACCAGCCACACUGGGACUGAGACACGGCCCAGACUCCUACGGGAGGCAGCAGUGGGGAAUCUUGGACAAUGGGGGAACCCUGAUCCAGCCAUGCCGCGUGAGUGAUGAAGGCCCUAGGGUUGUAAAACUCUUUCGGCGGGACGAUAAUGACGGUACCCGCAGAAGAAGCUCCGGCUAACUUCGCGCCAGCAGCCGC